GGCCAUAGCUCAGAGGUAGAGCGCCUGCUUGGCAUGCAGAAGGUCCCGGGUUCAAUCCCAGGCAGCAUCU